rnacentral:rRNA from 1 species
UGAGGAAUAUUGGUCAAUGGACGCAAGUCUGAACCAGCCAUGCCGCGUGCAGGAAGACGGCUCUAUGAGUUGUAAACUGCUUUUGUACGAGAGUAAACGCUCUUACGUGUAAGAGCCUGAAAGUAUCGUACGAAUAAGGAUCGGCUAACUCCGUGCCAGCAGCCGCGGUAAUACGGAGGAUCCAAGCGUUAUCCGGAUUUAUUGGGUUUAAAGGGUGCGUAGGCGGUUUGAUAAGUUAGAGGUGAAAUACCGGUGCUUAACACCGGAACUGCCUCUAAUACUGUUGGACUAGAGAGUAGUUGCGGUAGGCGGAAUGUAUGGUGUAGCGGUGAAAUGCUUAGAGAUCAUAUAGAACACCGAUUGCGAAGGCAGCUUACCAAACUAUAUCUGACGUUGAGGCACGAAAGCGUGGGGAGCAAACAGGAUUAGAUACCCUGGUAGUCCACGCAGUAAACGAUGAUAACUCGCUGUCGGCGAUACACGGUCGGCGGCUAAGCGAAAGCGAUAAGUUAUCCACCUGGGGAGUACGUUCGCAAGAAUGAAACUCAAAGGAAUUGACGGGGGCCCGCACAAGCGGAGGAACAUGUGGUUUAAUUCGAUGAUACGCGAGGAACCUUACCCGGGCUUGAAAGUUACUGACGAUUCUGGAAACAGGAUUUCCCUUCGGGGCAGGAAACUAGGUGCUGCAUGGUUGUCGUCAGCUCGUGCCGUGAGGUGUCGGGUUAAGUCCCAUAACGAGCGCAACCCCUACCGUUAGUUGCCAUCAGGUCAAGCUGGGCACUCUGGCGGGACUGCCGGUGUAAGCCGAGAGGAAGGUGGGGAUGACGUCAAAUCAGCACGGCCCUUACGUCCGGGGCUACACACGUGUUACAAUGGUAGGUACAGAGGGCAGCUACCCAGUGAUGGGAUGCGAAUCUCGAAAGCCUAUCUCAGUUCGGAUCGGAGGCUGAAACCCGCCUCCGUGAAGUUGGAUUCGCUAGUAAUCGCGCAUCAGCCAUGGCGCGGUGAAUACGUUCCC